UGUGAGCUCGAUGAGUAGGGCGGGACACGUGGUAUCCUGUCUGAAUAUGGGGGGACCAUCCUCCAAGGCUAAAUACUCCUGACUGACCGAUAGUGAACCAGUACCGUGAGGGAAAGGCGAAAAGAACCCCGGCGAGGGGAGUGAAAAAGAACCUGAAACCGUGUACGUACAAGCAGUGGGAGCCUCUUAAUGGGGUGACUGCGUACCUUUUGUAUAAUGGGUCAGCGACUUAUAUUCUGUAGCAAGGUUAACCGAAUAGGGGAGCCGAAGGGAAACCGAGUCUUAACUGGGCGUUAAGUUGCAGGGUAUAGACCCGAAACCCGGUGAUCUAGCCAUGGGCAGGUUGAAGGUUGGGUAACACUAACUGGAGGACCGAACCGACUAAUGUUGAAAAAUUAGCGGAUGACUUGUGGCUGGGGGUGAAAGGCCAAUCAAACCGGGAGAUAGCUGGUUCUCCCCGAAAGCUAUUUAGGUAGCGCCUCGUGAAUUCAUCUCCGGGGGUAGAGCACUGUUUCGGCAAGGGGGUCAUCCCGACUUACCAACCCGAUGCAAACUGCGAAUACCGGAGAAUGUUAUCACGGGAGACACACGGCGGGUGCUAACGUCCGUCGUGAAGAGGGAAACAACCCAGACCGCCAGCUAAGGUCCCAAAGUCAUGGUUAAGUGGGAAACGAUGUGGGAAGGCCCAGACAGCCAGGAUGUUGGCUUAGAAGCAGCCAUCAUUUAAAGAAAGCGUAAUAGCUCACUGGUCGAGUCGGCCUGCGCGGAAGAUGUAACGGGGCUAAACCAUGCACCGAAGCUGCGGCAGCGACACUAUGUGUUGUUGGGUAGGGGAGCGUUCUGUAAGCCUGUGAAGGUGGCCUGUGAGGGUUGCUGGAGGUAUCAGAAGUGCGAAUGCUGACAUAAGUAACGAUAAAGCGGGUGAAAAGCCCGCUCGCCGGAAGACCAAGGGUUCCUGUCCAACGUUAAUCGGGGCAGGGUGAGUCGACCCCUAAGGCGAGGCCGAAAGGCGUAGUCGAUGGGAAACAGGUUAAUAUUCCUGUACUUGGUGUUACUGCGAAGGGGGGACGGAGAAGGCUAUGUUGGCCGGGCGACGGUUGUCCCGGUUUAAGCGUGUAGGCUGGUUUUCCAGGCAAAUCCGGAAAACCAAGGCUGAGGCGUGAUGACGAGGCACUACGGUGCUGAAGUGACAAAUGCCCUGCUUCCAGGAAAAGCCUCUAAGCAUCAGGUAACAUCAAAUCGUACCCCAAACCGACACAGGUGGUCAGGUAGAGAAUACCAAGGCGCUUGAGAGAACUCGGGUGAAGGAACUAGGCAAAAUGGUGCCGUAACUUCGGGAGAAGGCACGCUGAUAUGUAGGUGAAGCGACU
rnacentral:rRNA from 1 species